UGCCAUUGGGGGCGUGGCCUCAGACAUGAGUGCCAUAUUGGGGGCGUGGCCUCUGCACCAUUUGGGGGCGUGGCCUGCCUGUUGUCCGCCAUUUUGGGGGUGUGGUCUCAGCAUCAUUAUGGGUGUGGUCUUUGCCUUAUCGGCCAUCUUGGGGGCGUGGCCUCUGCAGCAUUUCCGGGGUGUGGUCUCCAUGUUGUCGGCCAUCUUGUGGGUGUGUUCCGGGCGUGCUGGCGGCCAUCUUGGAGGGCGUGGCCCGACUCAGGCGGCCACCUCGAGGUCCCCCAUGCGCAGGGUGCCGGUGUCGUCACCGGGGCUCAGCCCCCGCCAGCGGGAACCCCCUGGAUCGGGGUGAAAACCCGAAAGUUUGGGCAAAAGGAAACGUUUGGGGGGAAAAAAGGAGAUUUGGGGGGGAUUUGGGUGAAAAAAGGAGAUUUUGGGGUGAAAUUGGGGAUUUUUGGAGUGGAAAAAGGAGAUUUGGGGGGGAAUUGGGGAUUUUUUUGGGUGAAAAAAGAGAUUUUGGGGCAAAAUUGGGGAUUUUUGGGGGUGGAAAAAGGAGAUUUUUGGGGCGAGAUUGGGGAUUUUUUUGGGGUGAAAAAGGAGAUUUUUGGGCAAAAUUGGGGAUUUUUGGGGGUGGAAAAUAAGUUUUGGUGGGAAAUUGGGGAUUUUUUGGGGUGGAAAAAGGAGAUUUUGGGGCAAAAUUGGGGAUUUUUUGGGGUGAAAAAAGGAGAUUUUGGGGCAAAAUUGGGGAUUUUUUGGGGUGAAAAAAGGAGAUUUUGGGGGGAAUUGAGGAAUUUUUUGUUAGAAAUUUGGUGAUUUUGGAGGAUUUGGGGGAAAAUCGGCAGUUUAGGGAUAGGAGGGACAAACUGGGAAAUUUGGGGCAAAAUGAGCAAUUUUUGGAGCAAAGAGGGAAAUUGGAGGGCGGGACUGGGCAAUUUUGGGGAGAAAAAUGUUCAAUUUUGGACUAAAGUGGGAAAUUCGGGGUCAGAGUGGAAAAUUUGGGGUGGAAAUGCGUAACUUUGAGGGGAUAAUAUUAAAUUUUUUUAAAUAAAAAUUGGGAGAUUUGGAUCA
rnacentral:lncRNA from 1 species